GUCAGGCUAUGAUAAAGCCUUGAACAAGUUUUUUGAUAAUGUCUUACAGGCAUUCCUUAAACACAUUGAUUUCAAGGUGGUUCGUUGCGCUGUCAUUGCAAGUCCAGGGUUCACUAAGGUCUGUCAUUUGGAAUCAGCAA